rnacentral:rRNA from 1 species
GACGAACGCUGGCGGCGUGCCUAAUACAUGCAAGUAGAACGCUGAAGCGAGGAGCUUGCUCUUCUUGGAUGAGUUGCGAACGGGUGAGUAACGCGUAGGUAACCUGCCUUGUAGCGGGGGAUAACUAUUGGAAACGAUAGCUAAUACCGCAUAACAAUGGAUGACACAUGUCAUUUAUUUGAAAGGGGCAAUUGCUCCACUACAAGAUGGACCUGCGUUGUAUUAGGUAGUAGGUGAGGUAAUGGCUCACCUAGGCGACGAUACAUAGCCGACCUGAGAGGGUGGUCGGCCACACUGGGACUGGGACAAGGCCCAGACUCCUACGGGGGGCAGCAGUAGGGGAUCUUCGGCAAUGGGGGCAACCCUGGCCGAGCAACGCCGCGUGAGUGAAGGAGGUUUUCGGAUCGUAAAACUCUGUUGUAAGUGAAGAACGGGUGUGAGAGUGAAAAGUUCACACUGUGACGGUAGCUAACCAGAAAGGGACGGCUAACUACGUG